rnacentral:misc_RNA from 1 species
AACGCACAUUGCGCCCGCCAGUAUUCUGGCGGGCAUGCCUGUUCGAGCGUCAUUUCAACCCUCAAGCCCUGCUUGGUGUUGGAGAUCAGCUGUACUGCUGUCUCUGAAAUACAGUGGCGGUCUCGCCGUAGCUCCCUCUGCGUAGUAAUUCGUUCUCGCUCUGGAGGCUCGGUGCGGCCACGCCGUAAAACCCCCCCAAUUUUCAAGGUUGACCUCGAAUCAGGUAGGAAUACCCGCUGAACUUAA